UACGGAGGGUGCGAGCGUUAUCCGGAAUUACUGGGUUUAAAGGGUGCGUAGGCGGCUAUGUAAGUCAGGUGUGAAAGUUUGCGGCUCAACCGUAAAAUUGCUUUUGAUACUGCAUGGCUGGAAUCAGGAUGAGGUCAGCGGAAUGUGGCAUGUAGCGGUGAAAUGCAUAGAUAUGCCAUAGAACACCAAUUGCGAAGGCAGCUGGCUAGACCUGUAUUGACGCUGAGGCACGAAAGCGUGGGGAGCGAACAGG
rnacentral:rRNA from 1 species